CCUACGGGAGGCAGCAGUGAGGAAUAUUGGUCAAUGGACGCAAGUCUGAACCAGCCAUGCCGCGUGCAGGAUGACGGCUCUAUGAGUUGUAAACUGCUUUUGUACGAGGGUAAACCCCGAUACGUGUAUCGGGUUGAAAGUAUCGUACGAAUAAGGAUCGGCUAACUCCGUGCCAGCAGCCGCGGUAAUACGGAGGAUCCGAGCGUUAUCCGGAUUUAUUGGGGUUAAAGGGUGCGUAGGCGGGUUGAUAAGUUAGGGGUGAAAUUUCGGGGCUCAACCCCGGAACUGCCUUUAAUACUGUUGGACUAGAGAAUGGUUGCAGUAGGCGGAAUGUAUGGUGUAGCGGUGAAAUGCUUAGAGAUCAUACAGAACACCGAUUGCGAAGGCAGCAUACCAAACUAUAUCUGACGUUGAGGCACGAAAGCGUGGGUAGCGAACAGGAUUAGAUACCCGGGUAGUC
rnacentral:rRNA from 1 species